UAAGGAAUAUUGGUCAAUGGACGCAAGUCGGAACCAGCCAUGCCGCGUGAAGGAUGAAGGUCCUCUGGAUUGUAAACUUCUUUUAUCUGGGACGAAAACGGGAUUUUUAUCUCAAUUGACGGUACCAGAGGAAUAAGCACCGGCUAACUCCGUGCCAGCAGCCGCGGUAAUACGGAGGGUGCGAGCGUUAUCCGGAUUUACUGGGUUUAAAGGGUGCGUAGGUGGGCUUAUAAGUCAGUGGUGAAAUCUCCGAGCUUAACUUGGAAACUGCCGUUGAUACUAUAGGUCUCGAAUUAUCUGGAGGUAAGCGGAAUAUGUCAUGUAGCGGUGAAAUGCUUAUAUAAGACAUAGAACACCAAUUGCGAAGGCAGCUUACUACAUAUAAGUUGACGCUGAGGCACGAAAGCGUGGGGAUCAAACA
rnacentral:rRNA from 1 species